rnacentral:lncRNA from 1 species
AUUAUAGAGACACUAACCCCAAAUACGAUCAGAAAUGUUAGCUCUGUUCUGAUGGCGUUCGAAAGAGGAAGGUUGUGGAUGUCCAGUUAGAAGGCUUAGCAUCCCUCACCUGCAAAGUGUACCAGGGUGGCCACUCUGGCUGUAUGGGUUCCUCCCAUUCAGGCCAUAUGGGGAGAGACUUCUCUGGUUGAGGCUGGAUUGCUCUGUGGACCUUUAGCCGAGGCUACACCACUGUGCACACUGGCUCAGGCUAUACUGUUCUGAAGUCUUCCAUCCCCUUCGAAGUCUGUCUUGGGACUGAUCUCCUUAAGAUCUUCCAGGACAGGUACCUGGGACCUUUGUUAGGCUCCUCACAAAUCUACUCCUGCAGGGAAAUAGGAAAGGAUACUUUCAGAUUAUAGCUUAAAAACCCUGGAGCUGGGGCUACAGUCAGUGGUAAGCCCUUGGAUGUGGGUGCUGGGAACCAAAUGUGGGUCUUCUGAGACAUCACUUUAAAACAUGAAUACAGAAAUAGGAUUUUACUGAGUGUGUGUGCAUGCACAUGCCUGUGAGUGUGUGCUAGACAGAGUCUCUCACUUGCCUGGAACUUGUGGAGUAGGGCAGGCCUCAGAUAACCACCUGUUUCUGUCUUCCCAGUGGUUGGGUUGCAAUUAUACACCUUCACACUUGUCUUUUGUUGCUGUUGUUGUUUUGUUUUGUUUUGAAGCCAUGGAUUCUGGAGUUGAAGAAUCUCCCCAGUCCUUAUUCAGAGGUUCUGAAAAGGCAUUUACUGUGCUUCAUCCCUUCCUGGCUUUGAGCUGUAUGAUAUCUCUUCUUAUUUUUAGAUCUUAUGUAUCACUACUUCCCUUACACAUGAUGCAGGUGCUCACAUGACGAAGAAUAUCAGAUGCUCAUCUCUUUCAGCUACUAGACAAUAAAAAUGCUGAAAAUCGAAGGAAGAAGAAAAAAUAAUUUUAUUUCUUUACUGAAAGAAAGGAGAAUGUUCUCUUGGAGGAGGACUGUUAGUGCAGGUGCUAGGAGCAGCCUACUUGUGGCAAGAGCCUUUCCAUGUGCUGCUUUGAAAGUGUUUGGAACCAGUGUCCAUUCCCUGCCCCUACAGAAAUGGUUCUCGAAUGUGCCUAGAAGGGUCUGGUGCCGAGGCUUUGUACAAACCACUACUCCUAGCCCCUUGAUGAUGGAUUCAGGAGAGCUUCUACUGGCUGAGCACGCCCUCUGCCCCUCACUGGUCCAGUCAGGCAGGACUUCAUCACUGAGCCACUACUCCCAGGCUCCCAGCUCCUAGCUCAUGUCCCUGCAGUGUGUCCAGUAAACUAAAUUUAGACCCCCUGGGACAACAGAGAAAGAGCCACGUGGCCCGGAUCUCUGUCUUCGUGUGCCGUGGACCACAUGACAUGCUUGCCUCUCCGGA